ensembl:lncRNA
UUGUCUCCGCGGUGUCCUGAUAGCUUCAUCACAUGUCAGGUCAUCAUCAGAGAGAGAGAGAGAGCCGAAUCAAAAGCUUCUCUUUUCUUCACCGGGAGUACGGCCGCUGUGCGCCUGGAUGCCUUUCCUAUGCGCAGAGGGCGCAGCGUCACGGCUCUUUUUCAAUGGGAGGCAACUGAGGCUCUCGGAGUUUUGGGGCUUUUCUAUCAUCCAUUCCUUAUUUUCACUUUGAGCGGAUUUUAAUCAAACCGAGACCGGGUUGGCUCUGCGGAAUUUAGCUCCGGCUGUGUGCGGUAGCAUUCACUGCAAAUUAUGUAAGAGUGACCCGAGCGGCGCUUUUAAUUCGAGAAAAAGUCCUAUUUUUGCACUUUUUAAAAAUGUUUUUCAUGUUAUCCUUUAAGUUUUGCUGGAAAUCAUAAAAACGACAUCUGCAAAAUUUCGAGCAGUUUUACUGCCUGUUUUUUUUUUUUUUUUUUUUUUUAGAUUUGUCCCAGCUUUACCUGUGAGUGCACACGAACUGCUGGUCAUGCUAUUGCAUCCUGGUUUGAAUCACCUUGACGGAUCAAUUGAUGUAGCGUUGGUGGAAGGAGACUUGGAGGUUGUGCCGUGGUUGGGUUACUUAAAUCGGACUUCGUUCCCCUUCUUUUUUUCCAACAUAUACUCAGAUACCGGGUUGCCGGAUCUCUCUCUGCCUGUGGAUUGCUUUUGAGUUCGUUUUUGAUUUAUACCCAGGUCUGUAACCUUGCCAUUGUUCCCCUAAAUGUUUUGCACACACUCAUGUUUGAAUUUUUGACUUGACUGUUUAAUAAAGUGUAUUAUAGAGCAUGCACAGCCAUCUGGGGACUGAAAUCUAUCUAUUCAGGGUGCAUGAAGACAGUAUUAUAACCUUACUUUUAAGCAAUGAGUCAGAGUAUGAGAGGCUAAAUAACAGUGACCAAUUCAUAAAAUCAUUUAUGCAUUACUGUGUGAAACGGUUCUGUGCCUAAGAAUGUUAAACGAUUAUAAAU